GGAGAUGGGUUUGCUGUGCUCCACAGGAAAGGUCUUGGGUGUUGGAUAGGCUUUUCCUAUCCCUUUGUGAAGCUGCUGUUACCAGGCUUGUAAUCAAAGCAGAAUCUGCAACCAGAGAAGGCUCUGUUGCUCCUCCAGCUGAUAAAGAGGAACAGGCUCCAAUUAAACCCCAACAGUUUACUCCUGCUUGUUGUGAUACAUGGUGUCCUCAACACAGGCGCUCCACAGCUCAGCACCUCAAACCAGACCUGGGGCUUUAAACUGAGGGGCAAUGCUGUGCUGCUGCUGUGUGGAAGAAGAAAUUGGAUAUUCCUGUGGGCUGCGUGUUCUCUGUCUUAGUGUAUUUGCUUAAUCCCUAUUGGCCUCUUACACAGUCGAUUUCUAUGUCAGCUCAAGCCCUGGCCUUGGUUGGCAUAUGGGACCAUGGCUGGUGCGACAGCUCUGCAAUAACUGCACUUCCCAGAACUGAAUUUGGCCUCAAGUCUGCUCCAUAAUGUCCCAUUAAUUCAUUAUUCAUUGUCUGAGAGAGCCCAGAUGUGAGCGCGGGGCCAACUGCUUGGUCCUCUCUGAGCAAUUUGGCUAAGAGGUGCCAGUUAUUUCUUGGUAUAGUUUUGGCUCCCAGAUGGAAGAAAACUGCGCAGUAGCUUCAAUGAAAAAGGGCAAAAUGGUAUUAAUAGCCUAUUUUUAUUAGUAGAGAAAAGAAAGACCUUGCAGUGAAAGGCUUCCAGCUUCUAAAAAAAACAAGGAAAUUUCAACUGAAAAAGAGAACUUACUGUUUUGAAAGAGUUUGCAGGGUGGGGACGUCAGACUGAAAGGAUCUUGUGUAACUCUGAUUUUUUAGGUCUCAUACUAAAUUAACCCGUUUAUUCCUUUGCUUUACCACAGGAAAAUCACCGAGGAAUGCUAAGGAAAAGGCUGAUUUCCAGACGAGCUGAAAGCGUGGAGCAUCUUCCAGGAUCAGACCCGGACACUUUCAUCUGUACGUUUUGUCUGGAGAGCUGGUAUUUCUGUAGCUCUUCCCAUUCUCCAAGCCCUCUGUAGGUGUGAAGUAUUUCUUUUGCAUCCAGCAAAUGGAACAAUAACAGAGGACUUAAUUUUCCCAUCUGUCAACUAGUCCUGAACAAAUUGUACAUCGCUCUCUUUGCAGAGAGAUCUUUUAGCUAAAUUAAAAGCUUUGGUGUUCACUUGCACGUAACAGGGCUUCUGAGAGGAAUUCUGUCAUCGCAUUUCUGGUUGAGAUUUUGGUUUAAAUGCUCUGCAAAUCCCUGAAGAUCUGUUUGUGUAACUGGGAGACGGUGGCUCCAUCUUGGGUAACCCAAAGUAACUCGCAUCACAGCGUUGAAGCCAGGUUUUGGAGGGAGCUCGUGCUGUAUGUUCAGGUUGAUCAGUAGUAUUGGGAAGGGAAAAUUCCCACCCAGGGGCUUUGGAGAGAUUGCCCUGCUGAUGCAAACCUCUGUUCUGCCCUUCUGAGGAUGGCUGAGCACAGGCUGGUCUUUGUUGCUCCCCAGCCUGUCAGACAGCCAUGGUAUAAUGCUGUUAGUCUUGGGCUUGACCCCCUGAGGCUGUACUCCAGCAAACAAAGUGCCUUGGGUUGGUUUCUGUAUGUGCUGAUGCUUCAUUUAAGAACAUGAUGGUGGGCUCCUCCACUUGCAGGACUCGCUGGUGUUGGCUGUGCAGGUGAUGGCAGUUCUAGGCCACAUAAUGCUGCUCUCUUUGCCCCUCAAACCUGGGUCUGGAGCAGCUAUUAACAUCAGCGGUGCUUUGGGGUGUGCAGGUUUCCCCCUUCCCUUAUGCGUAGAUAAGCCUUGUGCUCAUCUCCCCAUAGAUGUUGUCCAUCCUCCCCCUUGCCACCACCCUAGCAUGACCCAGCUGGCAGGCUCAGAUAAGGGCUGAAGGGGGAGAUAAGAAGCUCUUUUCCUUCUCCUCCCUCAUCUGGAGCACCAGCAAAUGGUGGAAACCCACAAGCUCUGUUAAACACAUGGGAAAGUGGCUGCUAAACGAAAUGGGUCACACAUAGACACAGACACCAGUCUCUGAAAAGCAGAUGCAUCAAAUACAGAUCUUUGAAAGAAGUGAAAUGAGGAAAAAUAAAAUCAGGGCCAGGUUCCCCCUUCUCCUCAGCAUUCCCCAUCGUGUCUCUUAAGAAGCCAUCCUUGAAGCUCCAGGUUUUACCUUGAGCAAACCCAUGUUAUGUGAUGUGGCAAAGACACACCCUGAAACAGACAGGUAGGAAUUUGGCUUUAGAGCUAUUUCCACUGGAAAACAAAAGGGUUUCUAUGAUGGUUCAGAGCGAGUGCCAAUUAAAGGGUAUGAACUCUUUUUGUACUGUGUUAAAUGCAGAGUAUCACUAGCAAGGUUCAUACAAGCCAUCAGUCGCUUUUUCUACCCUUCUUAAUCAGGCAGGCUGAGUGCAAUGUGAUGUAGUCCAGCAAUCUGAGAAAUGGGGCAAAUAAGUAACUCUUUCUUGUUUGUCUGUUCCUCCCUUGGUAAUGCAUUUUUAGAGUGACAUCCACGGGUGCAGCAAUGCAUCCGUUAUGGGACCUGAAAUAACAGAGCAGAAGGAAACUGUGGCAGGGCUCUGAAUCCUCUGGGCUUUAUGGCUAGUGUGAUUGCUGCUGCAACAUGUGCUGCCUUACAAAGGAGGCGUGAUAGCUUCAUCACACCACUGAUCCUGAACUAGAAGAGGACAUAAAGAGGCAGCUAUUGACUGGCUCAGGUCUUUCCUGCUCUGAGCCUUCGCGUCAGACGCUGCUGCUGCUGCAAUUUCAGCAUCGGUAUCCAUAGCAGAGCUCUGGAGCAGAUUGGGCUCAAGAGUUUUUGCUGGGUUGUGCUGAAACAGGGAUAAAUUAUGAUGUCAAAACAGAGAGAUGUUGUCACACAACCAUCUCCCCUUGCGGGGUCAAGGUUCUGCUUUAUAGCUUGGAAACCCAUUAGUCCGUUUGAAAGCAUAUGGCCAAGAAUGGACACAAAAUAGUCUUGUGUGUUUGGGUCAGAGCUACGGACAAAAGGCUCUUUGUGCUAAGAGCUGACAAUGACAAAUAAAGAGGAACCUGUUGAUCUAGGAGAGAAAUGGAGGAUUAUGAAAAGAUCACAUGGAUUUCAGGUGAUUAACUCCCCCUCUGUAAAGUUUAACACCACAUGCAGCAAAGAUGCUGUCAAUCUUCCUUUUCUAAGUAAAAGAAAAAAGUACUGUGGUUUUAGCUCGGGAAUGGAGGUGACUGACCAUGAGAAGACUGUUUUGGAGGUGCUCUUACCUGCUCUGGUUACACCCCAGUUGCAUUACUUGAUGAGCACGUCCUUUUGAAACAAAGACAGAAUCGUGACAGAUCUGAGUGUUGCCAUCACUGACAGAGCUGCAGCAGAGCUGGAGCAACUGAAAGCCCCUUUGAAAAUGACUGUGUGUUGACAAAGUCUUUUCUUGGCAAAGAAACCAUCAUCUAAGCCUCCGGAGUAGAGAGGAACAAAAUUUCAUUACAUGUAAAUAAUUGGCUAAAAAUAGAAGCACAGAUUGCUUUUCACAUUAAGUUCCUUCUUCAUGGUAAAGUAUAUACUGCGUUAAAAAAGAAGUGACUAGCAGCAGUCCAAGCUGAAAAAUAAAGGGCCUGUUGUUAGCUUUAUUUGUAAAAACA